GAUAGUUUUCAGGCAACUUACUGAAAGGCUUUUAUGCAGACUCAGCAGAAGACCAUCUGAACUUACAUCUGCAUGGAAAAGUUUAGGCAUCCUUGGUGAAACCGUAUUUUCAAUGAAUCCCUUGGUGACUUGAAGCUGGCACAAACUUAAGGACAUCUUCCUGCAAAUGUGAAUGCACACUUACUCUUUAUGUCCUUUACAGCAUCUGGAAGACUAUGAGGUCCAGUGUUUUGUAAUUAAGUAGUUGCUGGAAAUAAAAUAUCUGAAUUCUAAUAACGUCUAUUUAAAUCCAUGCUUCCACUUACAUGUUAUGAAACAUCCCUCAUUCGUAAUAAUUAUGUUAAUGACCCAGAGACUCUUAACUUGUCAUAUUUUCUGUGAUGAAGAAAGCUCAGCUACAGCCCCAGUGCUACCGCAGUAUUAUUUCCUCCAUUGUCUUCUUUUACUUUGACUCACAUUUUUUUUAUUCCUCAUGUUCUGUCAUAUUCCCGAUCCUCCAUCACAAAUGAAUCAUCAACUCCUAAAAGAGUUACAUAGAGGGGAAGGGGAAGAAAUAGAGAUUAUUGUUAGCUGUUUGUAUCCCAGGUGUUUUGAUGUAGUAAGUAAAAUGCAUUUUUAGCUGCUUGCAUCUCAAAUUAUUUGAUUGCUAAUUGAACAUCUCAUGUGCUAGCCUAUUGGAUUAAGGGAGAAAAGGGAUUUUUUUUUUCUUUGAUAUAAGGUUCUUCCUUGUAUUUCCUCCUCAGGAUGGGUGUAUUUGUGAAUGAGAGAAAGUUCAAAGUAACUAAUAAAAAUGAAUAAUAGCAAAUCUUACUUCCUUUUAAGUAAACGUCCUCCUGCCUUUAAGCAGAAUGGUUCACCAAAAUGAACUGCUGUGGCAUGACCAGGCACAUCACUCACAAAAUUUGCCAGCAUCCAUGUCAAAAUCCUUUUCAGUUCAAAAGCUGAGUACAAAAAGCAUUUAAAAGGUCAGGAACUGCAUACAAAAAUAUCCAUGAUGAGGAAGGAUUAUACUCCCCUACCGAAACAAGUGUGGAUUUUCUUAAAGCAAAUUGGUAGAACUUUGAUGGAAGUGAAUUACCUUGGAAUGCCAGAAUGAUAUUCACCUGGAGCAACAUAGACUGAUAAUUCCUAAUAAGUAUGAUACAGAACAAUUCUCAUGUGCAUUUUUUCUACCAGUUUAUUGAAAAAUGGUUUGUUUUUGAAAUUCCUUCAAAAGGAAAUUUUAGUAAAUAUAUCAUAGUUGAAGUCUGAUAUUUAUAUGCUUUUUGCACAUCACCCAUCAUAUUUAACAGGGCCCCAAGAAGGGAGGUAAGCAUGUUGUUCAAAACUUAGCUAAUUGUUUUUUUUUUCUUCCUAGCAUUUUUCCACUGGUGCAGGGUCUCUUUUUCAGAUCAGUGUUGAUCCAUUGCUAGCAACAGGAAUUGACCAACCAGCUUGUCGCCCGAGCCUGAUGUCGUGGGCUGAGAGAGAGGGACUGGCCCAAGUACUCUGCAGAUUAAGAAGUCUCACCUGCUGAAAGCCAACAGUGGUGAUUAUCUCUGCCAGCACUGCUCAAUUUCCAUCUGCUUUCCAGUAUCUAACAGGGACUCUUGUUUACACAUGCCCUGUUGGAUAUUCAGAACAAUCCUGAAGACUCAACAGCAACCAGAAAAGUUCUUCUUGAAUCUCGUCCAUCUGCCUGAGUAUCUGGUGCUUGCUCUGCUCUCUGGAAAUGAUCAAACUGAGCAGAUGCCUUUUGGAUGCCUUUUAAACUGGUUUCAGGAGGGCUUGAGAGAUGGAAAUAGUGUCCUCCUGAAAAUGAUAAUAAAUGAUAACUUACUGAAAGUUGCAUUUACAUUUGGCAUUUUGCUUCUCUGCCUUUGAAUUAGGCAGGUAUGUAUUUAUGGAUGUUAUGACUUGCAGUAUAUCAUUUUAAAAAAGAAAACUGAAUGUACUUUCCCUAGCUCUGGGAGAACUAGCUGUGUUUCAUUCUCACUGAACAGUACACGUUUUAGGGAAGAAGAAUUCCAAAUGCACAAGCAUUAUUGUUGGUGACACCUCUCAGACAAGGGGGAAAACACAGCUGAUCUUUGGAUUCCAGAUGGAGUCUGCAAUUAUGACAGAGAGGCAACCAAAAGAAAAAGAAUGGAAAAGAAAUAAAGAAUCUCUUUGCCUGCGGUGUAAUUAGAUUUUGAUGCCACAAUGAGAGAAAUUAAACAAUUGGCUUUAUUGUGCUUUUUUCCCCCCAGUUUAACUGUAAUAAAAAGUGCAAUGUUUAGAGAUACAAUCUUUCCAGUGGCUUCCCGCUGAAGUCAAAAUAUGGAAAAGGAGUUUGAUUGAGUGCAGGAUUUCUCACCCAGCUAUCAAUCAGCUAUGAGCUUCCAGGAAUGGAUUUGCAAGAUUGUCAGGCUCCCCAAUCAAAUGUUCCCAGAACAUCUUAUCGGACUCGCAUCCACCUUCAAGCAACCCGUGUCAGCAGACU